GAUGAACGCUGGCGGCGUGCCUAACACAUGCAAGUCGAACGGAAAGGCCCUGCUUUUGUGGGGUGCUCGAGUGGCGAACGGGUGAGUAACACGUGAGUAACCUGCCCUUGACUUUGUGAUAACUUCUGGAAACUGCGGCUAAUACCGGAUAGGAGCUCUUGCUGCAUGGUGGGGGUUGGAAAGUUUCGGCGGUUGGGGAUGGACUCGCGGCUUAUCAGCUUGAUGGUGGGGUAGUGGCUUACCAAGGCUUUGACGGGUAGCCGGCCUGAGAGGGUGACCGGCGACAUGGGGACUAAGGUACGCAGCAGAAUGGAACGGGAGGCAGAGGGGGGGAGUAUUACGCAGUGGGCGGGAGCCUGAGGCAGAGGCGCCGCGAGCGGAAUACCGGCCUACGGGGGAUGAACCACUUUCGCCUGUGACAAAGCGGGAGUGACGGUAAUUAGUAAAGAAGCACCGGCUAACUACGUG
rnacentral:rRNA from 1 species